GACGAACGCUGGCGGCGUGCUUAACACAUGCAAGUCGAACGGAAAGGCCCUGCUUUUGUGGGGUGCUCGAGUGGCGAACGGGUGAGUAACACGUGAGUAACCUGCCCUUGACUUUGGGAUAACUUCAGGAAACUGGGGCUAAUACCGGAUAGGAGCUCCUGCUGCAUGGUGGGGGUUGGAAAGUUUCGGCGGUUGGGGAUGGACUCGCGGCUUAUCAGCUUGUUGGUGGGGUAGUGGCUUACCAAGGCUUUGACGGGUAGCCGGCUUGAGAGGGUGACCGGCCACAUUGGGACUGAGAUACGGCCCAGACUCCUACGGGAGGCAGCAGGGGGGAAUAUUGCACAAUGGGCGGAAGCCUGAUGCAGCAACGCCGCGUGCGGGAUGACGGGCUUCGGGUUGUAAACCGCUUUCGCCUGCGACGAAGCGUGAGUGACGGUAAUGGGUAAAGAAGCACCGGCUAACUACGUG
rnacentral:rRNA from 1 species